rnacentral:lncRNA from 1 species
GCAGAGCAGGCUCCUCCCUUUCUGUCCUUGGGAGACCUGGAGGCAGGGUGUGUCUGAGGGUCUCCUGAGAGAGGCCCUGGUGAAAACCCAUUCCUCUUCCCACCCAAAGAGGCCUCUUUCUGGAUCAUCGCCCGCACAUCAAGUGGCUGCCCCUUCUGUGAGCCUAACAGUGCAGAACCAGCACCCCAGGGACUCGUGACUGCCCUCUGUCCAGGUGGAGCCACUUAGAGGAGAGCC